CUGUGUGCAAAUGGUCCUGGAAACAGCGCUGUGAAGAGUUUCCUGAAAGGGAGCUUAUGACCACUAUCCAUACUUAUUUGAUUGCAGUAGAUGCAUUUGAAUUUUAAGGACAGGCUCUUCAGAAUCCUGAAAUAUUCUGUGGUCUGCAAGAGUCAGAACGUUGGAACAAGACAGGAAGGAAGUUGGAUCACCAGAGCAUAUGCCACUAAACUGACCAAGCUUCCUCCUUGUCCCUAAUAAGUGUUGAACACACUUCUCAAAUUUCAUUGCAACUGGCUGAAGGAGGAUCUGCUAUGUUUCCAAUGCAUCAACUUUUGAAGGCAUGA